rnacentral:rRNA from 1 species
AGAGUUUGAUCAUGGCUCAGAUUGAACGCUGGCGGCAUGCUUUACACAUGCAAGUCGAACGGCAGCACGGGUGCUUGCACCUGGUGGCGAGUGGCGAACGGGUGAGUAAUGCACCGGAACGUAUCCAAUAAUGGGGGAUAACGCACCGAAAGGUGUGCUAAUACCGCAUACGCCCUGAGGGGGAAAGCGGGGGACCGAAAGGCCUCGCGUUACUGGAGCGGCCGAUGCCGGAUUAGCUAGUUGGUGAGGUAAAGGCUCACCAAGGCGACGAUCCGUAGCUGGUCUGAGAGGACGACCAGCCACACUGGGACUGAGACACGGCCCAGACCCCUACGGGAGGCAGCAGUGGGGAAUUUUGGACAAUGGGCGCAAGCCUGAUCCAGCCAUGCCGCGUGAGUGAAGAAGGCCUUCGGGUUGUAAAGCUCUUUCGCAAGGAAAGAAAACUCAUCUCCUAAUACGAGGUGAGGAUGACGGUACCUUGAUAAGAAGCACCGGCUAACUACGUGCCAGCAGCCGCGGUAAUACGUAGGGUGCGAGCGUUAAUCGGAAUUACUGGGCGUAAAGCGUGCGCAGGCGGUUUCGUAAGUCAGAUGUGAAAUCCCCGGGCUCAACCUGGGAACUGCGUUUGAAACUGCGAGGCUAGAGUGUAGAAGAGGGGGGUAGAAUUCCACGUGUAGCAGUGAAAUGCGUAGAGAUGUGGAGGAAUACCGAUGGCGAAGGCAGCCCCCUGGGCUAACACUGACGCUCAUGCACGAAAGCGUGGGGAGCAAACAGGAUUAGAUACCCUGGUAGUCCACGCCCUAAACGAUGUCUACUAGUUGUUGGAGGAGUAAAAUCCUUUAGUAACGCAGCUAACGCGUGAAGUAGACCGCCUGGGGAGUACGGUCGCAAGAUUAAAACUCAAAGGAAUUGACGGGGGCCCGCACAAGCGGUGGGAUUAUGUGGAUUAAUUCGAUGCAACACGAAAAACCUUACCUGGCCUUGACAUGCCACUAACGAAGCAGAGAUGCAUCAGUGCCCGAAAGGAAAGUGGGACACAGGUGCUGC